rnacentral:rRNA from 1 species
UGGGGAAUUUUGGACAAUGGGCGAAAGCCUGAUCCAGCAAUGCCGCGUGUGUGAAGAAGGCCUUCGGGUUGUAAAGCACUUUUGUCCGGAAAGAAAUCCUUGGCUCUAAUACAGUCGGGGGAUGACGGUACCGGAAGAAUAAGCACCGGCUAACUACGUGCCAGCAGCCGCGGUAAUACGUAGGGUGCAAGCGUUAAUCGGAAUUACUGGGCGUAAAGCGUGCGCAGGCGGUUUGCUAAGACCGAUGUGAAAUCCCCGGGCUCAACCUGGGAACUGCAUUGGUGACUGGCAGGCUAGAGUAUGGCAGAGGGGGGUAGAAUUCCACGUGUAGCAGUGAAAUGCGUAGAGAUGUGGAGGAAUACCGAUGGCGAAGGCAGCCCCCUGGGCAAUACUGACGCUCAUGCACGAAAGCGUGGGGAGCAAACAGGAUUNGAUACCCUGGUAGUCCACGCCCUAAACGAUGUCAACUAGUUGUUGGGGAUUCAUUUCCUUAGUAACGUAGCUAACGCGUGAAGUUGACCGCCUGGGGAGUACGGUCGCAAGAUUAAAACUUAAAGGAAUUG